rnacentral:rRNA from 1 species
GGCUCCUUGGAAAUAUAAAUGGGGAGUCUGACCUGCCCGGUGAUCAAUUUAAACGGCCGCGGUAAUUUGACCGUGCGAAGGUAGCGUAAUCAUUUGCCCUAUAAUUGAGGGCUUGUAUGAAUGGUUUGACGAAAGUUUAACUGUCUUUAUCCAAUUUUUUAGAACUUAAUUUUUAAGUGAAGAAGCUUAAAUAAAAUUAAAAGACGAGAAGACCCUAUCGAGCUUGUAAUGACUUUAGUAAGGGUAACUAAAUUGUUUUUGAUUGGGGCAAUUAAGGAACAGUAAAAGCUUCUUUAAAUAAAAGAACUGUCGGGUGUUGAUCCACUAAUAGUGAUUAAAGGAUUAAGUUACCGUAGGGAUAACAGCGUUAUUUUUCUUGAGAGUUCUUAUUAAAAGAAAAGUUUGCGACCUCGAUGUUGGACUAAAAUUUCCUGUAGAUGCAGAAG